rnacentral:lncRNA from 1 species
CUCUCCUACUCAACUACUGAAGAAGCGCACGUGAACUUGGAGGUGGGAAGAAAUUCCAGUCGUGGGUUGCUCAGUUGGUGGGCAGAUUUCAAGGAUGGAGAACCCGCACUGCGUGUCUGGCUGGAGGCAGAGAGGAGAGGAAGCUCCCAGAGACCCUGUGCCUCAACACGGUGUGGGAAAAGAUUCUGUCCACCUCUUUUGGAGAUAGUCACUCACUGACCUGACGUUGGCCAAUCGUCCAAGCCAACUGGCCAGCAAGCCUCCUCCAAAUCCUCCUGAUUCUGCAACCGGAGCUCUGAGAUAGCAUGGCCGUGCCACCAGACCCAGCCUCUUUGCAAGAGUUUUAGCAGUCAAAUGUGAGUUCUCCUGCUUCCAUGGCAAGCCUCAAAAACCCCGAGCUAAGUGACCCAACCCUACUGGAAUAUUUUAAUGAAACAAUUUAAUAUUUAAAUAGAGGAUAUGAGACUAACCAUUUAACAUGUCUUUCUUAUCUUUUAAAAACUUAGAUAGCUACUUUGUCUCUGAAUUGGAACCUGGAUUUUAAGUUCAUGAUUGCUUUGGCAAUUCACCUAUAGCAGUGGUUCUAACAUUCCUAACGCUGUGACCCUUUAAUACACUUCCUCAUGUUGAGGUGACCUCUAGCUAUAAAAUUAUUUUUAUUGCUACUCCAUGACUGUAAUCUUGCUACUGUUACAAAUCAUAAUGUAAAUAUCUGCAAUUUCCAAUGGUCUUAGGAGACCCCUGUGAAAGGAUCACUAAACCCCCAAAGGUUGCCCAUCCAUAGAUUGGGAUCCACUGACCUAUAGUGUUGCAGGAUUUUCCCUGACAAAUCACAUUAGGGCAGUGGAAGGCUUGUGAUUGGACAGGAGAAAGGAGGUAGAGUGAGAAGUUGAGGAGACAGAGAGAGAGGUCUGAGGAGGAGAGGGAGAACCAGAAUGGAGGCUGUUGUGUUGUUAUCAAAAGGUUAGAAUAUUUGGGUUAAAGCUUUAUCAUCAUUCGGCUCUAAAUUAUUGCAUUGGCAUCUUGUAAAUUGUGUUAUUAUUGAUAUAUACAUCUGAUUAUCUAAUUGAGCAUUUAGAGUCUUGAUUCUUCCAGGUAAUAAGGUGUUGAGAUGACUAACCAGGGGUGUGUGGAACAUUGUGUGAAGGCGAGAGAAACUCGGGGGGCCCCCAUCUGAAAGAUGGCCCAGUGGGAGCCAUGUGGUCUCACAGGGCAGGUGAGUUGGCCGGGCCAAGAGACUGAGCGAUUGAGAUCACCUGAUGCAGGGGCUAGCUCUAGAUAUUUCUUGAAAUUUCUAGAUAUUUCUGCAUUUUUCCAAUGGUCUUAGAAGACCCUUGUGAAAGGAUUCCUAAGCCCCCAAAGGUUUGCUACCCAUAGAUUGGGAUCCACUGACCUAUAGGAUUACUUUUGUUGGGACACAUAAAAAUUUGCAUCAGUGCCUAGCAAUUGGAUGUUUAUGGAGUAUGGUAUGGUGAUAUGUGCAUAUUGUGUGUGCCAGCUAGCAGCUCUUAAAUCUAGAAAUCAAAGGAAAUGAGACUAUGAAUGUAAUCUAGUUACAUUUUAAAGAUCUCGAACUCAUUCAGUGAAAGACUCAGGAAGCGUGGUUGCGAAUUAAUUGGGCAGAAUUUUACAAAGAGCCCCUUGCUGUGACUCAUACCUGUUCACUGUACACAACAAAUUUGUUGGGACCCAAAAUUAGAGACCUGGAAUUAUUACAUGAGGCUGAGUGUAUGUUAUAGUAAAGCUGUCAGAUGCUUGAUGUCCUCUAUGUCAGCCUGUCUUUGCUUUAUAAUGAGCCCCUCAUCAAUGGCUCCUAUUUCUUUCCAUCUGUAAUGUGUGGGGACAGGCACUAGUAUGAAUAGGCAUAUGUGCAUGUAGCUAUGUGUACACUUAUGUGUCUAUGCAUGUCACCUCCUUAGCUGACAUUCCUUGGCUGCUGUCCAUCAACUAUUUUGAGACAGGUCUCAAAUUGACUGGAGCGUGGUAUGUAGGUAAGUAGGCUGAGCUAGUUUGCCACCAAGCCCCAGGGAUCCACCUGCCUUUGCCUUCCCGUUGUAUCCUAUGGAAGAGUCAAUGAAAUUUGUUCUCUGCAAGAAAAAGCCUUGCUACUCCAGAGUGUCUAUUUCUGGGAUGUUUCUUAGCUCCAGGUAAGGCUUCUGUCUACAGGAAAUCCCUUCUGACCAGACUUUAUCUUCCAUCCUCAGUUCAUUAAAAUACACGCAAUUCCUCCUUACUUCCUUGUUAUACUGCUGAUGUUCAUUUUAUUUCUGUUCUGUGGACCUAUGUGGGAAGUUGGUGAAGAACAAUACAAGGAUGGAGAAGCAAAGAGAGAUGUCGUUUUAGUCACCCAGAGCUACAUAAUUCAAAUCAAUCCCAAAUGGUAAAAGGAAGAAACAAGGGCUGAAUGGAAGGACCCAGUAAGUCCUCUUGGAAGAACAAAUGCACAGAAGGGAUAUUUCUAUACAGAAGCAUUCAUAAUCUACCCAGGCAUUCAGACAGAACCCUUGGCCAAGCAGACUAACUAUUCACCACAACAGAUGGCACGCAACAUGAAAAGGAGAAAAGGCUUUGGAUCCCUUCCAGAGUGAUAUGGAUCAUAUUUGACAGGGGAAGACCCUCUAAAGAUCUUGGCUACAGAAAAAAAUUCAAAAUAUUCAAACAGGACAGAAUUCAACACUGGCAAUAUUCGCUGGGCUUGGAGAGCAAGAUUAACAACUAGCAAUCUAUCAUCUUAUAAACUGGCAGUUCCACACAACUGACUCUUUCCCAUUAGCUUCUCCAACACGAGAGGUGCUCCACAGACGGGGAACAAUGCACAUCUCUUGCCAUUGUUAGCAGCUUUUCAUCUUGUUGCAGUGGAGGCUGGGAGAGGCUGAAGAGUUAAUUUUAAUAAGACCAAUCAGCUCAUCUUGACAAUGGAGGGGAAGGAAAGGGGACAGGUAGAUGACUGUAUGUUUUGACAUUGGACCAUUAACAUGCAAAUCACAUGCAAAAUC